CCCGACGCCGAACCUCGCGCGCCGAGUUUCCAUUCUUCUCCCGAUCCCUCUGCCCUAACCACCUCGAGACAGUUCCUCUUCUCUUCUUCUUUCCUCUCCCUCGCGUCCGAUCACAGCUGACACUGAUGCCUUAGCCUUCCUCUACGCCGAACCUUUCCUCUUUCUCCUUCCUCGUGACGGCCAUCUCCACUACUGCUAGCCGACGCGGAUCACCGACCCUAGCGCCACACCGAUGCUUCUGCCCUAGCCACCUUGCGCCGCCACCACAGUCGACGCCGCCCGGAGAAGUGCCGACGGUCUCCCCUUCUGUGCUGAGCCCUAUCUCCGAUCGCCGGGCAGAGCAGGUUUCUUGCUUCUACCUUAGCUCUGUGCCCUAGCGUCCGACAUCUCCUGGUACAGCCGAGUCUUCCUCUCGCACGAAAUCAGCACAGCAGUGCCCUUUCGCCACUGUCCUUGUGCCCUAGCACCGGUCGGCCAGCCGUCAAGUGCUAGCAGCAACUUUGACGGAUCCUAGGUCAUCACAGGCAGUAGGAGGGAAGAGCUUCUCCGAAUCUCGGCAGUAAGUUCUUUAGGAUUUGAGCAGUGUUGAGGCAUCAGAAAAUUUGGGACUUUGACGCGAGACGAGUAUCUCGACGUUAGAUUUGGACCAGAUUGGAUAUUCCUA